rnacentral:rRNA from 1 species
CCUACGGGAGGCAGCAGUGAGGAAUAUUGGUCAAUGGACGCAAGUCUGAACCAGCCAAGUCGCGUGCAGGAUGACGGCCCUCCGGGUUGUAAACUGCUUUUAGUUGGGAAUAAAAGGGGGCUCGUGAGCCCCGUAUUGUAUGUACCAUCAGAAAACGGACCGGCUCAUUGCGUGCCAACAGCCGCGGUGAUACGGAAGGUCCGGGCGUUAUUCCGGUUUAUUGGGUUUGAAGGGUGCGUCGGGCGGCGUUUAAGUCAGCUGUGAAAGUCCGCGGCUCAACCGUGGAAUUGCAGUUGAAACUGGAGGCCUUGAGUGCACACAGGGAUGCCGGAAUUCAUGGUGUAGCGGUGAAAUGCUUAGAUAUCAUGAAGAACUCCGAUCGCGAAGGCAAGUGUCCGGGGUGCAACUGACGCUGAGGCUCGAAAGUGCGGGUAUCAAACAGGAUUAGAUACCCUGGUAGUC